UUGCCCCUGCGGGGUGCGUGACGGGCUUUUAGAAAGAAAAUGAACCAACAAAAUCACAUUGGGAGUUGCCGCUACCGGUGGUGUGCAGCCUCCAGGAGAGGAAGCCUGAAGCCGGCAUGUAACGCCCCCCUGGUGAAGGCGGGGUUCAUUGCCUUCAACUGCCCUGACGGCCCAUGCGGGGGUCUA
rnacentral:other from 1 species